UCUCUGUAUUACCACCUGGCGCCCCUUUGUUCCUCAGCCUGGCCCCAUAAGAAUGCAAGUUGCUUGGCAACUGAUCCAUGCACUCAAGUGACGCAAGGAAAUAACCCUAGUUCCUAGGAUGGUGCAUGAUCCAAGUUAUUAUAGUAAGCUCUAGUGUUUACACCUAAGCCUGAAAAGAUAAUCCGUGCUCACAGUAUUUCCAUUGCAGCCCAUGAAAAAUCCACAUACAAGCCAAAAAAGAUGCCACCUCUCAUUGACUGGGCUGAUUACUCCACGAAUACAACAGUCGUUGGGCUACAUCUGUUAAGGGAUUUUAUUCUAAAUAUAGAACCCUCUAAUAGGGGCUAAAUCUUAACAUCAACAGGAAAUGAUAAUGGUGCACCUUGACCACCACCCUUUAUGUUAUAAGGAAGGGAGGAGCAGCUCUGAUCACCAGAGCUGAGGAGUCAACUCCAAGACAACUUUGCAUUGAAAUGGCGCUUAUUUCCCAUUAGUCCCCUCAUGUGUGUUACUUUGCACAGCUUAUCAUCCUUUGUAUCCCAAACCAUCUGCCUUUGUUAAAAGGAUAUAUA